GAGGUGUUCAUGGGGCAUCACCCAGGGUGUAGUCUGAUAUUAACUUGCAUGCUUCCUUAUGAUGGAAACCUGGUCUGGGUUGCUCACCACUGAACCUCCUCACACCUGGAGCCGUGCCUAGCACAAGGAGCUUACGUAUCCUCAGAAGAGAAGAAACAGAGACGAUUGCUGUCUUCAUUUUAGAGACAAAGAACCCGAGGCGUAGAGAGCCAGGUGAGUAAGUGAAGGAUCCAGACUCCUACUUGAUAAUUUUUUUUGCUUCUAAUCCUCAUGCUGUGUGGCCCAGGUGGGUCCCACUGUCUUGGGCAUCUCCAUUGUGUGGCUGUGUCCCCUGCCCUGCAAGGCCCCCUUUUAUGUUCUGUGCAGGCCCUCUGACCUCCUGUUUUAUGGUGGCUCUGACUCUAGUGUCUAGCUGAGGAGACUUUACCACUUCUGGAACGCACCCCUCAUCCUCUUCACUGACCCUGUCUUCAUCCUCGCUUAAGUUCUCACUCAUCCUAUGGUUUUAGGUGUACACUCAGUUAUGUGGGCAUGGUUGACACGACAUGAACUGAAAUGUCACCCCAGUAUGGCUAGCUCUAAUCCCUGCCUCUACUCUUGAUUCUUAUUAGAAAAUUGCUUUUGACAUACAUGUUUAAAAGGUGGCAUGAAUGGCCAAGUGUGAAUGGGUGUAGUGGGAGUUUGGGGCAGAGCCCCUCAUCUCAGAGUGUUGCCCUUUUGUGGGAAUCACA
rnacentral:lncRNA from 1 species